UUCCCCCUCUUUACCUUCAUUAUCAAUCAUCCGCCCUUUUCUCCUCAAUCAAAAUCCUAUUCACAAACCCUAAUUCUCUAUACUGCAUCUAUGGCGUCAAAAAAUUUCUAUUAUUUAUCGGCAUGUGAUCUGGAUAAAAGGGUUUUCUUUUUACAUCGAUCAAAAAACCCUAGACUUCUACCUUUCUUCUUCAUCUCUCUAUUCCAUCUCCCUCAUGCCUUAGUCCCUUGCCAUCCACGUUUUAUCUUCUUUCCAUCGGUCAUGAAAGGGUAAGUCGUAGGUGUUUUGAUUCAUCUGAACUUCAAUAAAAGGUUUCUUUGUUGAACGACAAGCCGAUUUUGCCGGUGAUUAGUUACAGGUAUGAGUUAUCUAUUUCUUAGGUUCUAAGUAUUGUCGUCAGAAAUUUGGGGUUUUUUAAUGCAGCGAUUAGGGUUCCGGCGAGUAGAGUAUGGUCGAUGAUGAGUUGAAUGGAAUAGUUGAGCAUCGAUGUCCAAGGUCGCUCAUAUCAGUAUAAUAAGAGGUUACUGGGUGUCGGAAAAAUCAUGGAGCUCUUCAACAAUGGCUGGACAGCAGAGUGGCAUUUGGUGAAUCGUUCAUUUCGUUGGACAUGGACUAUCAUAAGCGUUUUGGAUUAGUGCGUUAUACCAUGUUUCAUUUACUUGGAUUAGGUUGCUUCACAACACAAGGUUUUGGAAGAAAACCAACAACAUUACAAUCAAGUUCAAAUUCAAAAAGGUCAGUAUUUUGGUUCUUAUCGAGCAUUAGAGGUUGCAACCUCGACCAAUAUGAGCAGGUCAAUUUACUUUCCACUAUUGUUUACUUUCUGUUCCAAUAAGAAGAUCACCUGUAGAUUGAUUUAGAGUUGUGUGAUUUGUUACAUCUUAGUUAAAUCCAAUAUCAUCAGGUUCAUUGAAUAGAUGAGGUGCAUUGAAUUCACCGAUAUACGGGUAUGAGUUUAUCACAUGCAAUGGAUCUUGUGCAGACCCAAGAAAGCAGGUUCCUGGAAUUAUUGCGGGUAAGUACAUUAGGUUACAGAUCAACAGUUAAAAAGGUAACUUAUUAUUGAAAAAGGGCUUCAAUUAGAUUCAUCAAAUGGGGAGGGUUCAGGGUCAACUAAAUUUGGUGUGUGUGAAUGUUUGGGGUACUGGGCUUGGCAUGAGAAGUAGGUCCACAACUUGUGUGCAUUUGUGUGAGUUGGUUGUGGGAUUCUAAGAAUGGUGGGUCAAAAAGUGAGCUUUCUUCUUGUGGCCUUGACCAGGUUUUCAUUCGUAGGUAUGCAUUUCAGUUCAUGAGCUUUCUAUUAAAGAACAGUUCGUAGAAAAAAAGGGUUGGGGACUGGGUUGUAAGAAUAUAUUGAGGUGUGUAUCACACCAAUUCCAGGUUCCAGCUGGGUGCUCUAAAUGGGUCACCUGGGAAAGAAGACAUAUGUCGCUUCAUGCGCGACCGGUUGAGGAUAUCAAGAUGAUGACCAUAUGAGUGAUGAGAAGAAACAUUAUGGUCCAUCUGUUCAGUUUACUAAUGAAACCCACAAUAUGAACUAACGAAUGUACACUUUGUUGAAUUUAUGUUGGUGGCAUGAAACAGUUCGAGCAGAAAUGGCGUGAGGUAACCAGAAAAGGAUGCGACAUCAGCGGUUAGUUCGCCACCAUCUACACCCAGAAGUGUUGCAACAUCCAUACCCAUAUGAUGGUAAUGAACAAUCAUCGUGACAAGGCCAGGUUAAAGGAAAUGCAGAGGUUAGAAAGACAAUGGAUGAAAACAUACAAGAUAUUGUGGAUCAACAAAAUGCUUUUGUUGAGGCUGAUAUGGUUUUUUUGAAGACGUCUCAAAAUUCUUAUUGGCUCUUUAAUGAUAUAUAAAGCUAACACAUUAUCUUUUUGUAGGGGUGUGAAUUUCUAAUACAACCUGAAAACACAACACGAACUGAACACGAAUUUCUUGGAUUUGGGUUUACUCUAAACGGGUUUGGGGCAAUUUUAGGUCGAACCCAUGGACCUGUUUAGCUUAAUAGGUCAUGUUCGGGUCAAACCCGUCUGGUUUGCGGGUUGGCCCGUUUAGUUUAUAAAUGUAAUAAUAUGAUGGAUUAUGUGAAUGUAUGUAUAAUUGAGGGUUUUAAAAUAAAGUAAAUAUAUCCUU